GGUAAGGCCCUUCGGGGUACACGAGUGGCGGACGGGUGAGUAACGCGUAGGAAUAUGCCCUUUAGUGGGGGACAACCAAGAGAAAUUUUGGCUAAUACCCCAUAUGCAGUAAUGUGAAAGAUUUAUCGCUAGAGGAGUAGCCUGCGUUUGAUUAGCUUGUUGGUGAGGUAAAAGCUCACCAAGGCGACGAUCAAUAGCUGGUUUGAGAGGAUGAUCAGCCACACUGGAACUGAGACACGGUCCAGACUCC
rnacentral:rRNA from 1 species